CCUACGGGAGGCAGCAGUGGGGAAUAUUGGACAAUGGGCGAAAGCCUGAUCCAGCAAUGCCGCGUGAGUGAUGAAGGCCUUCGGGUCGUAAAGCUCUUUUACCAGGGAUGAUAAUGACAGUACCUGGAGAAUAAGCUCCGGCUAACUCCGUGCCAGCAGCCGCGGUAAUACGGAGGGAGCUAGCGUUGUUCGGAAUUACUGGGCGUAAAGAGUACGUAGGCGGUUAUUCAAGUCAGAGGUGAAAGCCCGGGGCUCAACCCCGGAACUGCCUUUGAAACUAGAUAACUAGAGUCUUGGAGAGGUUAGUGGAAUUCCGAGUGUAGAGGUGAAAUUCGUAGAUAUUCGGAAGAACACCAGUGGCGAAGGCGACUAACUGGACAAGUACUGACGCUGAGGUACGAAAGCGUGGGGAGCAAACAGGAUUAGAUACCCUGGUAGUCCACGCCGUAAACGAUGAUAACUAGUUGUUCGGUCACUUGGUGACUGAGUGACGCAGCUAACGCAUUAAGUUAUCCGCCUGGGGAGUACGGUCGCAAGNUUAAAACNCAAAGAUUGACGNUGAGANGCGAGCGACACGAGGAGAG
rnacentral:rRNA from 1 species